GGCGUGCUUAACACAUGCAAGUCGAACGGAAAGGCCCUUCUUUUGUGGGGUGCUCGAGUGGCGAACGGGUGAGUAACACGUGAGUAACCUGCCCUUGACUUUGGGAUAACUUCAGGAAACUGGGGCUAAUACCGGAUAGGAGCUCCUGCUGCAUGGUGGGGGUUGGAAAGUUUCGGCGGUUGGGGAUGGACUCGCGGCUUAUCAGCUUGUUGGUGGGGUAGUGGCUUACCAAGGCUUUGACGGGUAGCCGGCCUGAGAGGGUGACCGGCCACAUUGGGACUGAGAUACGGCCCAGACUCCUACGGGAGGCAGCAGUGGGGAAUAUUGCACAAUGGGCGGAAGCCUGAUGCAGCAACGCCGCGUGCGGGAUGACGGCCUUCGGGUUGUAAACCGCUUUCGCCUGUGACGAAGCGUGAGUGACGGUAAUGGGUAAAGAAGCACCGGCUAACUACGUGCCAGCAGCCGCGGUGGUACGUAGGGUGCGAGCGUUGUCCGGAUUUAUUGGGCGUAAAGGGCUCGUAGGUGGUUGAUCGCGUCGGAAGUGUAAUCUUGGGGCUUAACCCUGAGCGUGCUUUCGAUACGGGUUGACUUGAGGAAGGUAGGGGAGAAUGGAAUUCCUGGUGGAGCGGUGGAAUGCGCAGAUAUCAGGAGGAACACCAGUGGCGAAGGCGGUUCUCUGGGCCUUUCCUGACGCUGAGGAGCGAAAGCGUGGGGAGCGAACAGGCUUAGAUACCCUGGUAGUCCACGCUGUAAACGGUGGGUACUAGGUGUGGGGUCCAUUCCACGGGUUCCGUGCCGUAGCUAACGCUUUAAGUACCCCGCCUGGGGAGUACGGCCGCAAGGCUAAAACUCAAAGGAAUGACGGGGGCCCCGCACAAGCGGCGGAGCAUGCGGAUUAAUUGGAUGCAACGCGUAGACCCUUACCUGGGUUUGACAUGGAUCGGGAGUGUUCAGAGAUGGGUGUGCUUCUUUUGGGGUCGGUUCACAGGUGGUGCAUGGCUGUCGUCAGCUCGUGUCGUGAGAUGUUGGGUUAAGUCCCGCAACGAGCGCAACCCCUUGUUCACUGUUGCCAGCACGUUAUGGUGGGGACUCAGUGGAGACCGCCGGGGUCAACUCGGAGGAAGGUGGGGAUGACGUCAAGUCAUCAUGCCCCUUAUGUCCAGGGCUUCACGCAUGCUACAAUGGCUGGUACAGAGAGUGGCGAGCCUGUGAGGGUGAGCGAAUCUCGGAAAGCCGGUCUCAGUUCGGAUUGGGGUCUGCAACUCGACCUCAUGAAGUCGGAGUCGCUAGUAAUCGCAGAUCAGCAACGCUGCGGUGAAUACGUUCCCGGGGCUUGUACACACCGCCCGUCAAGUCAUGAAAGUUGGUAACACCCGAAGCCGGUGGCCUAACCGUUGUGGGGGAGCCGUCGAAGGUGGGACUGGUGAUUAGG
rnacentral:rRNA from 1 species